AGUGAACGCUGGCGGUAGGCCUAACACAUGCAAGUCGAACGGCAGCACAGUAAGAGCUUGCUCUUACGGGUGGCGAGUGGCGGACGGGUGAGGAAUACAUCGGAAUCUACUUUUUCGUGGGGGAUAACGUAGGGAAACUUACGCUAAUACCGCAUACGACCUACGGGUGAAAGCAGGGGAUCUUCGUACCUUGCGCGAUUGAAUGAGCCGAUGUCGGAUUAGCUAGUUGGCGGGGUAAAGGCCCACCAAGGCGACGAUCCGUAGCUGGUCUGAGAGGAUGAUCAGCCACACUGGAACUGAGACACGGUCCAGACUCCUACGGGAGGCAGCAGUGGGGAAUAUUGGACAAUGGGCGCAAGCCUGAUCCAGCCAUACCGCGUGGGUGAAGAAGGCCUUCGGGUUGUAAAGCCCUUUUGUUGGGAAAGAAAAGCAGCAGGUUAAUACCCCGCUGUUCUGACGGUACCCAAAGAAUAAGCAACGGCUAACUUCGUG
rnacentral:rRNA from 1 species